CAGUGAGCACAGGAUCUGUUGAGCAGCAAAUACUCCAGCAUGAUCUUGUCAGUCAUCUCUCAUUAUUCUCGACCUGCGAUCAGUCAAAUCUGACUCUUGCAGCUCUUGUUGGAUGCAGGAUGCGUUUUUUCCACAGAAUUGGGCUACUUUUAAACUGUCGCCAUGGGUUGAUUUUCCAAAGUGAGAUAAAGAGACAAGCUCCCAGCUUAUCAGCGUUACCACACUUUAGCUCAGGAUGUGCAGCCUGGUCUUACCCUGCCCUACCAAUACAAAGUUCUCGCUGAGAUGUUCCGCAGCACGGACACCAUAGUUGGGAUGCUGUUCAACCGCUCUGAGACUGUCACUUUUGCCAAAAUCAAGCAAGGGGUCCAAGAUAUGAUGCGCAAGCGUUUUGAAGAGAGUCAUCUGGGGCAGAUAAAGGCUGUGUACCCUUCUGCCUAUACUUUUCGUCAGGAGAAAAUCAUUCCCUCUUUCAGUGCUACUGCAAAAAGGUCCAGCUAUCAGUUUACAGUGGAGAAGAAUUUAACGGUACUCAUCCAGUGUUGUCGGCAUCUCGUCUUUUGGAAAGAAGACACACAUUUCACCAAAAUCUGGUUGAAAUUGUGAAGGGACACCAGAAGGUGUUCCUGGCUUCCCUAAACCCUCCCAUUGCUGUUCCUGAUGACAAACUGACCCGCUGGCAUCCGAGAUUCAAUGUGGAUGAGGUUCCCAACAUCAAGCCAAGUGAUUUGCCUCAACCCAAUUUUUGAUUUGCCUUUUUUUGUGUCCCUAAACUGCACCUUCAAAGCAGUGCCACACCCCUCUUAGCCUGUUCAGUUCCCUGUUAGUCCCAAGCUCCACCCACCCAAUCUCAAGCCAAUUAGAGCUAUCUCACAGACUUUAUUAGCUGCAUCUGUGUCCACAGCUUGCCCUUUUUGUUGCAUGUGUUGACACCGUGCAGAGGACUGAGUUUUACUCCUUUCUGUGUUUUUCCUGCGUGUGCGUAAUUGACUAUGUAAGUGCCUUUUGUUUGAUGCUUAAACAUUUUGUAUGACUUAAGUUUUGGCUUAAAUGUAUAUUUUCAUGCUUGCUCUAGUUUCGGUUUAGGCAUGUGCUUUAUUUAAAGUGCAGUUGAUGUAACAUUGUGGUUGCCUUAUAC